rnacentral:misc_RNA from 1 species
AUGUUGGUAGGGCAGGGAGCGGAAGAGAUUUAUGAUGACAUUGUGGGAACUGGUUUUUAAGGAUUUACAAGUUUCUUAAUGGCAAACAAAAAAAAAGAUGUCAACUAGUUUGUGGUUGUGAUCAUCGUCAUUUUAUAUUUUGCUUUUCUGAAAGCAGAAAAUAAGUGAUUUGGUUUGUAGUGCUUCUUAACAGUUAAAGUAGAUGAAAAAUUUUAAUAUAAUGGGUUGACGAUAAAAUCUUUUGUGAUCGGACAGGAUAACUAAUGAAAGAAGCUUAAAAAAAUUAAAAAAAAGAAAAAG